AGCAGCCGCGGUAAUUCCAGCUCCAAUAGCGUAUAUUAAAGUUGUUGCAGUUAAAAAGCUCGUAGUUGAAUUUCGGGGUUAGUAGGUUGGUCAUGCCUCUGGUAUGUACUGGUCUCACUGAUUCCUCCUUCCUGAUGAACCUUAAUGCCAUUAAUUUGGUGUUUUGGGGAAUUUGGACUGUUACUUUGAAAAAAUUAGAGUGUUUAAAGCAAGCUAACGCUUGAAUACAUUAGCAUGGAAUAAUGAAAUAGGACGUUCGACCCUAUUUUGUUGGUUUCUAGGAUUGACGUAAUGAUUAAUAGGGAUAGUUGGGGGCAUUAGUAUUCAAUUGUCAGAGGUGAAAUUCUUGGAUUUAUUGAAGACUAACUACUGCGAAAGCAUUUGCCAAGGAUGUUUUCAUUAAUCAAGAACGAAAGUUAGGGGAUCGAAGACGAUCAGAUACCGUCGUAGUCUUAACCAUAAACCAU
rnacentral:rRNA from 1 species